UACGUAGGUGGCAAGCGUUGUCCGGAUUUACUGGGCGUAAAGAGCGCGCAGGCGGUCGUUCAAGUCGAGUGUGAAAGCCCCCGGCUCAACUGGGGAGGGUCACUCGAUACUGAUCGACUCGAAGGCAGAAGAGGGAAGCGGAAUUCCCGGUGUAGUGGUGAAAUGCGUAGAUAUCGGGAGGAACACCAGUGGCGAAGGCGGCUUUCUGGGACGGUACUGACGCUGAGACGCGAAAGCGUGGGGAGCGAACAGG
rnacentral:rRNA from 1 species